CAAUACACGAAAGAUGGGAAGCUCAAGCCACAGCCGCAUCGGCCGCAUACAAUUUAGUACCUGGCAUGAAAUGAAGAUGGCGGUAGCAUUGCACCUGCUUACAUCGUCUGUUUGUUUACAAAGACAAUUCAUUGUCUGGAUCUGGUGGGAGCAUUCAUAUGGGAGAGCAUAAGUAGAUGCCUACAGUGGAUUAGAGUUGUCAAUAUUAAAUGUCUUCUUGAUAAAAGUACCAAAUAUGUAAAAAAAAAACUGUUGUAGAGUAUGCAGUCUUCACUUUUCCUGCAAGAACUAUGUGACUCUGGAUUCCUCAAGACUCAAUAAAAAUGCAUGUCCAGAUCAACAGCUUGCAGGUAAUCCAAAUGAUACAUCUGCAGCACCAGCAAUAACAUACAACUCUGAGUGCAGUACUGCAACAUUUGAAAGCAUUUUUGAAAAAUCUGGCAUAGGUACAGUUCAGUGCACAUUUCCAUUUUUACUUCAUUAAUAUUGCUUUUAAAGGAGUAAAAUGUCAGUAGAUUAUAAAAACCUUCAAGUGUUAUGCUGUAAUUUGAUUAGCAUAUACAGUAUUACUAGUGCCUGUUCUAAGUGAAAGUGUUUCAUGUGAUUUUGUUUAAUAAUUGCUCAAGCCCAAAAAAAGGAAAAUAAUUACUGUAUACUAUAUUGGUGAAAUAAUAAGAUAA